rnacentral:rRNA from 1 species
UACGGAGGGGGCUAGCGUUGUUCGGGCUUACUGGGCGUAAAGCGCGCGUCGGCGGGCUGUUAAGUCGGGGGUGAAAUCCCGGGGCUCAACCCCGGAACUGCCUUCGAUACUGGCAGCCUAGAGGAAGGCAGAGGCUAGUGGAAUGGCGAGUGUAGAGGUGAAAUUCGUAGAUAUUCGCCGGAACACCAGUGGCGAAGGCGACUGGCUGGGCCUUUUCUGACGCUGAGGUGCGAAAGCGUGGGGAGCAAACAGG